rnacentral:rRNA from 1 species
CGGAGGGUGCAAGCGUUAUCCGGAUUCACUGGGUUUAAAGGGUGCGUAGGCGGGUAUGUAAGUCAGCGGUGAAAUCCCCGAGCUUAACUUGGGAACUGCCGUUGAUACUAUAUAUCUUGAAUGUCGUGGAGGUUAGCGGAAUAUGUCAUGUAGCGGUGAAAUGCUUAGAUAUGACAUAGAACACCCAUUGCGAAGGCAGCUAACUACGCGAAUAUUGACGCUGAGGCACGAAAGCGUGGGGAUCAAACAGGAUUAGAUACCCUGGUAGUCCACGCCCUAAACGAUGAUUACUCGACAUUGGCGAUACACUGUCAGUGUCUGAGCGAAAGCAUUAAGUAAUCCACCUGGGAAGUACGACCGCAAGGUUG